GAUGAAGAACGUAGCGAAAUGCGAUAAGUAAUGUGAAUUGCAGAAUUCAGUGAAUCAUCGAAUCUUUGAACGCACCUUGCGCUCUUUGGUAUUCCGAAGAGCAUGCCUGUUUGAGUGUCAUGAAAAUAUCAACCUUGACUUGGGUUUUGUGCUCUAGUCUCGGCUUGGAAUUGGGUGCUUGCCGCUUUUACGAGCGGCUCACCUUAAAUGUAUUAGCUGGAUCUGUCUUUGAGACUUGGUUUGACUUGGCGUAAUAAGUAUUUCGCUAAGGACAUUCUUCGGAGUGGCCUCGUUUCUAGGACGCUUGUCCGCUUUCAAUACAAGUUCCACCUCGUGGACAUGACUUUUUAUUAUCUGGCCUCAAAUCAGGUAGGACUACCCGCUGAACUUAAGCAUAUCAAUAAGCGGAGGA
rnacentral:misc_RNA from 1 species